GAUGAACGCUGGCGGCGUGCCUAAUACAUGCAAGUCGAGCGAAAAGACGAGGAGCUUGCUCCUCUGACGUUAGCGGCGGACGUGUGAGUAACACGUGGAUAACCUACCUAUAAGACUGGGAUCACUUCGGGAAACCGGCGCUAAUACCGUAUAAUAUAUUGAACCGCAUGGUUCAAUAGUGAAAUACGGUUUUGCUGUCACUUCUCGCUGGAUCCGCGCCGCAUUAGCUAGUUGGUAAGGUAACGGGUUACCAAGGCAACGAUGCGUAGCCGAGCUCAUAGAGUGAUCGGCCACACGGGAGCUGAGACACCGACCAGACUCCUGCGGUAGGCAGCAGUAGGGAACCUGCCGCAAUGGGCGAAAGCUUGACGGAACAACGCCGCGUGAGUUAUGAAGGCCUUCGGAUCGGAAAACUCUGUUAUUAGUGAAGAACAAAUGUGUAAGUAACUAAACACGGCUUGACGGUACUUAAUCAGAAAGCCCCGGCUAACUACGUG
rnacentral:rRNA from 1 species